rnacentral:rRNA from 1 species
AUGAACGCUAGCGGCAGGCUUAAUACAUGCAAGGCGAAGGGGCAGCAAUGUCACUGUCGUACGGGUGCGUAACGCGUAUGCAACCUACCUAUCACUGGGGGAUAGCCCGGGGAAACCCGGAUUAAUACCGCAUAACACAGGGGUCCCGCAUGGGUACUAUUUGUUAAAGAUUUAUCGGUGGUAGAUGGGCAUGCGUUCGAUUAGCUAGUUGGCGGGGUAACGGCCCACCAAGGCGACGAUCGAUAGGGGAGCUGAGAGGUUGAUCCCCCACACGGGCACUGAGAUACGGGCCCGACUCCUACGGGAGGCAGCAGUAGGGAAUAUUGGGCAAUGGAUGCAAGUCUGACCCAGCCAUGCCGCGUGCCGGAUGAAGGCCCUCAGGGUUGUAAACGGCUUUUAUUCGGGAAGAAGAAUAGGGAUGCGUCCUUAUGUGACGGUACCGAAUGAAUAAGCACCGGCUAACUCCGU